rnacentral:rRNA from 1 species
AUACGUAGGUGGCAAGCGUUGUCCGGAAUUACUGGGUGUAAAGGGCGUGUAGGCGGGAAUGUAAGUCAGAUGUGAAAUCCCAGGGCUUAACCCUGGAGCUGCAUCUGAAACUAUGUUUCUUGAGUGCCGGAGAGGAAAGCGGAAUUCCUAGUGUAGCGGUGAAAUGCGUAGAUAUUAGGAGGAACACCAGUGGCGAAGGCGGCUUUCUGGACGGUAACUGACGCUGAGGCGCGAAAGCGUGGGGAGCAAACAGGAUUAGAUACCCUGGUAGUCCACGCUGUAAACGAUGGAUACUAGGUGUAGGAGGUAUCGACCCCUUCUGUGCCGGAGUUAACACAAUAAGUAUCCCACCUGGGGAGUACGGCCGCAAGGUUGAAACUUAAAGGAAUUGACGGGG